GACGAACGCUGGCGGCGUGCCUAAUACAUGCAAGUCGAACGCUUCUUUCCUCCCGAGUGCUUGCACUCAAUUGGAAAGAGGAGUGGCGGACGGGUGAGUAACACGUGGGUAACCUACCCAUCAGAGGGGGAUAACACUUGGAACAGGUGCUAAUACCGCAUAACAGUUUAUGCCGCAUGGCAUAAGAGUGAAAGGCGCUUUCGGGUGUCGCUGAUGGAUGGACCCACGGUGCAUUAGCUAGUUGGUGAGGUAACGGCUCACCAAGGCCACGAUGCAUAGCCGACCUGAGAGGGUGAUCGGCCACACUGGGACUGAGACACGGCCCAGACUCCUACGGGAGGCAGCAGUAGGGAAUCUUCGGCAAUGGGCGAAAUUCUGACCGAGCAACGCCGCGUGAGUGAAGAAGGUUUUCGGAUCGUAAAACUCUGUUGUUAGAGAAGAACAAGGACGUUAGUAACUGAACGUCCCCUGACGGUAUCUAACCAGAAAGCCACGGCUAACUACGUG
rnacentral:rRNA from 1 species